CAGCCGCCGCGGUAAUACGUAGGGGGCGAGCGUUACCCGGAUUCACUGGGCGUAAAGGGGGUGUAGGCGGCUCGGUAAGUCGGGUGUGAAAUCCCACGGCUCAACCGUGGAAUUGCGCCCGAAACUGCCGAGCUUGGGGCCGGUAGAGGGAGACGGAACUGCCGGUGUAGGGGUGAAAUCCGUAGAUAUCGGCAGGAACGCCGGUGGGGAAGCCGGCCUCCUGGGCCGCGCCCGACGCUGAGGCCCGAAAGCUAGGGGAGCAAACCGGAUUAGAUACCCGGGUAGUCCUAGCCGUAAACGAUGCCCACUAGGUGUGGGGGAGUAGUUCCUCCGUGCUGUAGCUAACGCGUUAAGUGGGCCGCCUGGGGAGUACGCCCGCAAGGGUGAAACUUAAAGGAAUUGGCGGG
rnacentral:rRNA from 1 species